CCUACGGGAGGCAGCAGUGGGGAAUAUUGCACAAUGGGCGAAAGCCUGAUGCAGCGACGCCGCGUGAGGGAUGACGGCCUUCGGGUUGUAAACCUCUUUCAGUAGGGAAGAAGCGAAAGUGACGGUACCUGCAGAAGAAGCGCCGGCUAACUACGUGCCAGCAGCCGCGGUAAUACGUAGGGCGCAAGCGUUAUCCGGAAUUAUUGGGCGUAAAGAGCUCGCAGGCGGUUUGUCGCGUCUGCCGUGAAAGUCCGGGGCUCAACUCCGGAUCUGCGGUGGGUACGGGCAGACUAGAGUGAUGUAGGGGAGACUGGAAUUCCUGGUGUAGCGGUGAAAUGCGCAGAUAUCAGGAGGAACACCGAUGGCGAAGGCAGGUCUCUGGGCAUUAACUGACGCUGAGGAGCGAAAGCAUGGGGAGCGAACAGGAUUAGAUACCCUGGUAG
rnacentral:rRNA from 1 species